UGUUCAAAUCAUCAAUCUCCCAAAGAUUGAAUACAUUUUCCCUUGCAGGUUUCGAAAUGGAGAUUUUCUUUAUAAUUUUGCCAAAAGAAUCAAUCAUUUCCUCUGGCGGUAAAGCUUUCAUCCGAUCGUAACCAAAUGAGGAAUUCUUACACGGGAUUUCAGUGCUACCUGUUAAAACCCAUUGAAUGAUGCAAGUGAUUAAAAAUAGCUCUCGUAGCUCUAUGGUCUAGGUAAGCUUUACAAAUUCCGUUUGUUUAUAUAGACACUCACCUACUUUACAUGACACAGACGGUAACUUCUCGCGAUAAUUUGGUUUAAACAGAUAAUGUUGCAGAGUUUGUAUAAACUGUAAUGGCGAUAUUCAUCCUAGCAACGUUUACUGUGCUACUAUAUAGUGGGCAUUGCUUUGAUUACAAAGUUGUGGACCUGACUCAUAUUCAUGGAAACGACUCUAUUUACUGGCCAACACAUACGGGAUAUGAGCUCAUUUAUAGUCAGAGAGGGAAAUAUGGAGACGAUUUAUGGGUAGCUGCAUAUACACUUAAAACAACAGAGCAUCUUGGAACCCAUCUGGACGCACCUGUUCAUUUCAACCAAUAUUCCUGGACUACACAUCAAAUACCUAUUGACCACCUAGUUGGACCAGGAGUCAUAAUUGAUGUAAAAGACAAUGUAAAAAAUGAUCCCGACUAUCGGGUAACUGUAGCUGAUAUAGAAAAAUGGGAAGAGAAUAAUGGGCGUAUACCUAAUGGCGCUAUAGUUAUUAUGAACUCCGGUUGGUUUGAAAAGUAUCCUGAUAAGAAACGUGUUUUCCACACAGAAGAUCCGCUUGAUACAAAGACCUUUCACUUUCCAUCUUGGCACGAAGACACGGUAGCCUGGAUGGUGGCACACCGCACCAUUCACGUACUUGGUGUAGACUCCCCAUCUUUGGAUUACGGACAGAGCAGAAAAUUUCCUGUUCAUGUUCUGAUCAGUUCUGAAAACAUAUGCGGUUUGGAAAACGUAGCUUAUUUGGACAGAAUACCGGCCAGUGGGACUAUAAUUUCAAUAGGAGCUAUGAAAACUGAAGACGGAAGUGGAAGUCCAGCGCGAGUCAUUGCUUUGAUUCCCGAAGGGGAGAGCACAAGUGGCUCUAAUCAGAAACAACCAUUUAUCAUUCUUAGUAUGUUGUGUUUCAUCUACAACAUACUACUGACUUACUGAAGCAACCGUCUUUUCUUGUUAUGAAUGUUGAAUGAAUUUUAUAAUGAUAAUAUAUAUUUGUGUGAACAGAUUUUUUUUUUUACAACAAUGAUUGCCGAUACAGAGUUUUAUUGUUAA